AUGUUUGUCAAGAAGUACAUGAGACUUCAGUUUGAUAGGGAAGUAGAGGAGAACUACGAGGAGAAGCGGGCGCGAAUAGGUAGACCGCUGUACAGAGACAAUCUAGAUAUCGAGCGACAUGCUGGUAAGAUAUACGCACGAACUAUGUUCGAGCAGUUUGGGCGUAUACUGUAUGAGUGCGACACAUGCCAAGUGGAAGAACUUGAGAAGGGGAAACUUUAUCUUGCAAUUCAUAGAGAGGUUGCUAGGAGGGAAAAGUGGUGCAGGGUGUCAUAUAAGGUAACUGUACUUGCAGGAGGACAGGAAUUCGACUACGAGUGUGGGCAAUUUGCACACAUGGGAUUCCUAUGCAACCAUGUUUUGAAGUUGCUGGAUUUCAUUCGCAUAACAGAGAUACCAGAGAAACACAUUGUCAAGCGGUGGACCAAGGAUGCACGUGGCAUACUACCAGCUCACCUGACUCAAUAUUAG
rnacentral:rRNA from 1 species